UACGAAGGGGACUAGCGUUGUUCGGAAUUACUGGGCGUAAAGCGCGCGUAGGCGGAUCGCUAAGUCAGGGGUGAAAUCCCAGGGCUCAACCCUGGAACUGCCUUUGAUACUGACGAUCUGGAGAUCGGGAGAGGUUGGUGGAAUUCCGAGUGUAGAGGUGAAAUUCGUAGAUAUUCGGAGGAACACCAGAAGCGAAGGCGGCCAACUGGCCCGAUACUGACGCUGAGGUGCGAAAGCGUGGGGAGCAAACAGG
rnacentral:rRNA from 1 species